CUUCGUUCUCACUUUGACUCUAAGACCAGAGACAUUCUCCUCUUCUUUCUAGUGGAAAUGGGCUUUUUUUAAACAUUUGCUCCACAUCUGGGAGAACUGCAGAUUUUACUGAACAGUAAAGAUAACAUGAUCAUCUGACUUCAUCAGCUGAAGAUUUAUGCAGAUGACUUAAUAACAAGACUCACAAUUAUAUCUUGGCAUCAACUGCACUGGAAUAUGAAUGCUGACUACAAAUAAUUGAUCCAUGGAGAUGCAUUGAGUGAAUAAUGAACACACUAAGGGAGUCACCAAGAUAUGCUCCAGGACACACUGUCACUAAAAAACCAAAACAGUCCAAGGAUUUAACGCAAAAAUUGUUUGCCCAGCUCAAAAACUUGCCUACCACAAUUAAGAAUUUAUAAAAGACAUUGCCUGCAAUAGAUGAAAUAAUGCAGUUAUUUUCCUCUAGUAACAAUUAAUGAAAAACACCGAUCUGUUGUUUACCAGUUUUUCUCAUCUCAAUCACUCCAUUCCUUCUAACUGCCCCCUCAACUAUGCUUUUAUCCUCUCUGAUCCCUGUGUGAACUUCACUAACAUGCCUUACCUCCUAAGGCCAGCUCUUUCAUUCUCUCUAUCCAGGACUCAUGCGAGUUGCCCUAGGAUUGCCUUUGUCACACAUCUGAGUUUCUGUGUGACCUCUACAAUGAGUUUCCUUAGUGUCUCCUUAUUUUCCUUCCAGCUAUGCCUUUUAUCUUCUGUUGCAUCUUCUCUGAUCUCCCAGUGCAUCUUUGUAUCACGUCACUCUGGGUCUCUCAGUUUUCUAAUCUUUAAUUUUGGAGUUGCUAUCAAAUGUCUCCACUACUUCCUACUACCCUUCCUACUCUUUCUCCAUCCCACUUGGGCUCAUGCCCACUGUAAGUGAGACCUGGAGGAUGGGAAAGAAUGAUAGAGCUGAAUGUCAUAUCAGUCACCAUGGCUCUAUUAAACACCUAGAAAUAACAAAGCAGGUUGGCUGACAUGCAACUUAUGCAUUAGUUUUUUGUACAGAUGUACAUUUUUCAUGAUUAACUAGGCUUACUUGACAACAUUUUCUUGGUCAUUAAUUUCUAAUUAUUUUCUUCUUAAUGACCCAUCAUGCUCAAAACAUGUCAUAUGUGUUGCCAAAACAUCCAGACAACACGCAUAUGCAGCCUAAUACGUAUACCAUUUCCCACUGGAUCAUUGCUGUAGGCUACAUAUUUUUUCCUCUUGAUGUUUGUUACUUGAAGUAGCCAUCUGACUGAAAGUCGACUAUUAAGACUCUAACAGGAAGGAGAGGUGGAUCCAAGACAGCUUUCCUCAUUCAAUUUAAAGAUAAUUGCUGACAGAGUCUGUUGGACCUCAGGCGGUGGUACUAACCAGAUGGCACAUCAAAGAGCAGAGAUUUUGUGGGCUCUUUAACUCAGGUUACUGACACCCUCUGAAUAGGAAAAAAGUGGAUGGUUCGUUCAUUUCUCAGGACACACACAGCAGCUGUGAUGACUUGAUGAAAACUUUGAUUAAUCUAGAUUUAUCAAUUGCAUGGAUAGAGUCAUCUUUUCUGAGACCGAGUAUAUGAUUCUACCAGCCACUCAUUGCACUAAGAGAACUGAGGAAGAGGUAUGCAAGAUUUCUGCAGUGGUAGUACCAGAUCUGGAAGGUGUGCUAAAUCCAGAGCAAGCACAGGAAAGUAUUGAUCCCUACUCUAUACUGUUCAUACAGGCACUUACAGAAGGAGCCAAAGGCCACAUCUGUAUUGAUAAAUGACAUGUGUCCAGAAAGCAUAAGCCAGACACAAAUCUGCUCCACAUCUUUACACACCUACCCCAGGAUGAAUUUGUUAGGAGAUAACUUCUUGAUUUUGGUGUGUUCAUGGUUGGUCAAAUGAGCCCAGUCUCAGGAUGCUAAAACUUGAAUAUCCUCACGACCUGUGGUAGUUGGUCCUGAGGUUAAUAUAUGCACAUGGGUUAACAUGUAACUCGUUGCAACUCUUCCAGAGCUGUUCUUUUAAGAGAAAUUGUUCUUUAAUUGUUCUUCUAACUUCUCAACCCAUUUCCAUUGCCAUGUGACAUCAGCUCUCCAUCCAAUCCCUGCCCAACAGCAGCUCUCCCAGAAACUUAGACCACCGAACACUCCGAGUAAUGACUAGUUCUCUUCACUUGAAUGGUCCCCUGUAAAAUGGAUACUGAUUCAUGACUGGGGAUCCAAAGUCCUGCUACAUCUAGAACAAUAGAAAAUUAGUCAAAAGUACAAUCAUAUAAAUGAUUAAUUUACUUUUGCUGCUUUCUGUGAAUAAUAACAAACUGUAAAAAAAAAAAAAGAAGCAUUCAACUUUACAAACCGGUAUUAGGUUUUUAAAAUUAGAAAGAGUCUAGUUGCUCACAAAUUAUUAUCUGUGUGUGUUUCUUUCAGCACUAGAUAGUCCUAGCUGACUCCUUGAUAUGCUUGGUGGUACACUUACGCUACAUAUAAAAAUGGCUGAAUAUAUUUGAGAUCGCAGAGUUCAAAAUUUAUUUAAUGUACAUUUUCUGCCAGUUUUCAAUUGUAAGAGGAAAGAAAUUAAGCCCUCGUCUGCUAAUAGAAUUCUAAUGCCUCAGUAUUUAUUCCACACUUUUUUGUUGUUGUUGUUGUUUUGAAAGAUAAGAUUUAUGGAAGUUAAACAAACAUGUUUUGAGAUCUUAAAAUGCAUGUUCAGUAAACAUUUAUGUGAACACUACAGAAAUCCCAGAAAGAUCUGCAAAAUAAAGUUCAAACUUAGUGAAAAUAAAAUUGUUCUGCAC
ensembl:lncRNA